rnacentral:rRNA from 1 species
CUCCUACGGGAGGCAGCAGUAGGGAAUCUUCGGCAAUGGACGGAAGUCUGACCGAGCAACGCCGCGUGAGUGAAGAAGGUUUUCGGAUCGUAAAGCUCUGUUGUUAGAGAAGAACGUUGGUAGGAGUGGAAAAUCUACCAAGUGACGGUAACUAACCAGAAAGGGACGGCUAACUACGUGCCAGCAGCCGCGGUAAUACGUAGGUCCCGAGCGUUGUCCGGAUUUAUUGGGCGUAAAGCGAGCGCAGGCGGUUCUUUAAGUCUGAAGUUAAAGGCAGUGGCUUAACCAUUGUACGCUUUGGAAACUGGAGGACUUGAGUGCAGAAGGGGAGAGUGGAAUUCCAUGUGUAGCGGUGAAAUGCGUAGAUAUAUGGAGGAACACCGGUGGCGAAAGCGGCUCUCUGGUCUGUAACUGACGCUGAGGCUCGAAAGCGUGGGGAGCAAACAGGAUUAGAAACCCCGGUAGUCCGAA